CUGUUCAGCCUUUGCUCCUGAUUGAUUGGUGAUGCCUGCAGUCUCCGGAAGGGGGAGCUCUCGGCCGCGACGCGUCAGUGAAGCGACCACAGAGGAAGAAGAGUCGCUCACCUGCCGCAGCAGCUCCUGUCUUCACUCUCCCUGAGAACGAGGGAUGAAAGACCAGGAAAUGACUGAGAAUGAGAAGAAUCCACUCGCUGGUGCCACCACAUGAAAUCCACCCUCCAGAGUCUUCUGGUUCCAGAUUGGACGCCUGCAGUGGAAGAAGGAACAUCUGGAAAGCACCAAAUCCCCUUUUUGUGGCCUCACUAUCGUCCUGCUGCAGCAAAGAAACAAGUAGGAUCGGAGGAAACUUAACGAGGGAGGAGAUUUUAUAAGAUAGAGAGCGUCUUCUUGACGGUACUCUGAUAGA